UUGGUUAGCCAUUGUUCG
rnacentral:snRNA from 1 species